ACGGGAAGGAAGUAUAAACAAAGAAUAUAGCAAUGUUAUGUUGUGGGAGUUUGACAUUUCAACAUCACCAACAUCCCAAGCAAUCCCACCAUGUGACCCAGAUAGUCAAGAUGAUGAGCUGGAUAGUGUACUUCCACCAAUAGAAUUACAUCAGCCAACUGAUUGUAUAACUGUUUUAAUUUACCAAUAAACCCUGUUUGCCCUGACAGACAUUCAUACACACCGAAUGAUGGAAGAAGCGCCCAGUGGUAGCAUUGUUGUAAAGAAUGAAAUGGAGGAAAUUCAACACUAUCGCAACACUAUAUAUAAAUGUAUUGACUACUGUGUGAUGCAUUGCAAGGAUUUAUACUGAUCAACCAGUUAUCUAUGCUCAAAUGAUCAACCAGUUGUCUAUUAUUUUACUCUGCCUAAUGCCAGAUUAUUUUACUGUCUAAUACUAGACUAUUUACUCAUCAGGGGGAGAGUGCUGACACUCAAUGGGUUAAAAAACAUUGAAAGAAAAUGUUUAGCAGAAGCUGAAAAAUUGUUUAUUGGUGUCUGGUGUAAUACUGAUAUUUCUUUUAUUUGUAAGGAUAGAGCUGGGGAGCUUCUAAUGGUACAGUCUUGGCCCUACCCCAGUGAGUUUUCCUGUACUGCAUGUGUUUUUGUCACUUCCCUGAUUAUACCAUAAGUAUUGUAUCCCAUGGACACCAUCUUAUCAGUUCUGCAGUUUUUUGACAAUCUACCGUAGACCUUCACCUAAAAGCAC